rnacentral:rRNA from 1 species
UACGUAGGCAGCAAGCGUUGUUCGGAGUUACUGGGCGUAAAGGGUGUGUAGGCGGUUGGAUAAGUGUGGUGUGAAAUCUCCUGGCUCAACUGGGAGGGUGCGCCGGAAACUGGAGUGCUUGAGCGUGGGAGAGGAAAGCGGAAUUCCUGGUGUAGCGGUGAAAUGCGUAGAUAUCAGGAGGAACACCUGUGGUGUAGACGGCUUUCUGGACCAUAGCUGACGCUGAGACACGAAAGCGUGGGUAGCAAACAGG